rnacentral:rRNA from 1 species
GAAUAUUGGACAAUGGGCGAAAGCCUGAUCCAGCCAUGCCGCGUGUGUGAAGAAGGUCUUCGGAUUGUAAAGCACGUUAAGUUGGGAGGAAGGGCAGUAAGCGAAUACCUUGCUGUUGUGGAGGUACCUCCAUAACAAGCACCGGCUAACUCUGUCCCAGCAGCCGCGGUAAUACAUAGGGUGCAAGCGUUCACCGGAAUUACGGGGCGUAACGCGCGCGUAGGUGGUUCGUUAAGUUGGAUGUGAAAUCCCCGGGCUCAACCUGGGAACUGCAUCCAAAACUGGCGAGCUAGAGUAGGGCAGAGGGUGGUGGAAUUUCCUGUGUAGCGGUGAAAUGCGUAGAUAUAGGAAGGAACACCAGUGGCGAAGGCGACCACCUGGGCUCAUACUGACACUGAGGUGCGAAAGCGUGGGGAGCAAACA